rnacentral:lncRNA from 1 species
UUAGUAUUUUUGUUAUUUUCAUAUAUAUAUUUUUUAUCUUGAUCCAUAUUUUUAUAUUUUUUUAAAUUUUUUAUAAAUAAUAACUCUCUAAAUCUACAACUAAAAAAUAAAUAAAAGAUUACAAACAUAUAAUAAAAAAAUUAUUUAUCCAAAAAUAAAUAAAAAUGAUAAAAAAAUAAAAUUAAUUAAAAAAAAGAAAAAAAAACUAAUAAAUAAAAAAAAUGGAAAAAAAAUUGAGGCAAGUUGGGUAAGAAGCGAGGGGGCAUAAUGGUAAUUGCCGAAGAGGUUUUGGGGUGGGGCUGGGGAGUGGGUGGGUUUGUGUCAUGUGAGGGGGGAAAAGCAGUGUUUGGGGGAAGACAAAUGGGUUCCAAUAUGCCCCUCUGCUGCUCAUUUCUUUAUCUCAUUGGAUACUACUAUUGAUAUUUCUAGGCUUAUUUACGUCACUAAAAAUGGUCUUUUUGACAGGAUCUGUAAUUCUAUCUACUAUUAAAAUAAUGGUGUUUUGCCAGUAUGUGUCCGUUGCAAUUUUUCUUUGCCGUUUUCUUCUUCAGUAGUUACAUUGAAACACUAUCCCCACUCAUUUCAAAAUUAUUUUUAAAUCAUAAGAAGAAAGUUAAAGUUGUGGCAAUCGCGAAUAUUUUGAUACAAAUUUCAAUAAAAAAAGGCGCGGCCAAAAAAAAAUAUGGAGUAUGACAAACAUCCCCUCUCUCAAAUAGAUAUACGCAAUCAAGUAUGAGAUGGGUGUUAGAUACUGAUGUGGAAAAAUUACCAAGUUAGCCACAUCGCCUUAUAACCGCCUCGCCUCUAUGAAUUUCUAAUCGCCAUUCGUGUUACCAUGUGGACCACCUCGCCUUCGGCUCACCUCACAAGAUCAGAGAACUCAGAUCCUCUACAUCCGGACUUAUCUUCGGAGAUAUCACCUUGUAACGGAACCAUCAUGAUCCCUAUGAUAGCGGGCUGCUCUCCACCUAGCAUCCUCUUGAGAUCUCUCCAUAAUUACAGGGAUACACUUCCUAAACUGAGUCGCCCGGAAAUCUCUCUUGAAUAUCCUCACCGAAUUUCCAGUUUAUUCCUAUAUAAAGGCCAAACCCCCCACCAUUAUGAGGUACGACUUACUCCAUGCAUUUACACUCUGAUAGUUCCGUUUUUACAUUGAUGUGAUCGCCUAAGUCUGAUCUCCACGCCGGAGGAGUUUUAAGCGAUCUCACCUCGGUCGUUUACUUUUGUUCAUCUAUGCAGGUCGCCCGAAUUGUACUAAGGUCCAAGACCGAGGUCGCAGAGCAAUAUUGACUGUUGGAUUGCUCGCUCCAGAUUUUUACCACAACAGUUUGGCGCUGUCUAUGGGAACGACAGUUCUCAAUCUUUUAUGCACCUGCGCAGCCGUUAUCUACCUAGACCAAGUGCCAGCAGCCCUCAGGCAAUAGAGCUUACCCUAUGGCCAAUACCAGCCAGGCUCUAGAUUUAGAAGGCCUUCACCGCGAAAUACACGGCAUGGGCGAAUAGAUGAGAGUCAUGAAUGAGAACAACGCCCGCCUUACACAACUUCUCGCCGCAGCCAAUCCCCCGCCUUCGGCCACACCAUCCAUCCCCGAUAUUGAGCGAUCUCACCACUCUAACCACCCAGGAGGUCGCUCUCAAAACAUAGUACCGACCGAGUGCGAAGAAGGAUACGCGGAUCACCAAGUCCUCUUCGACGCGAUGGGAAUUCAUCUUCGUCGGAAUCCAGUGAAAUUCCAGCAGUAGAAGGCGAGGAGGCCAAGAGAGGAAGGAGCCCUCGCAGAGGUGAUCGGAUUGGGACCCGGGACAGGUAUACUUCUCAAAAGAUCCGAGAUUUAGAUGCCCAGCUUGACGCCAUCAACACUGGGGCAGGUGCUCCAGUAACAGUGGAUACUCUAAUUAGACAAACCGAACCGCCAUUCACACAAAGGAUAUUGAGAGCUCAGGUCUCUUCUAGGUUUAAGUUACCUAUCUAGCUCGGAAUCUAUGAAGGAAGGACAGAUCUUAUGGACCAUCUGGAUUCGUACAAAAGUUUGAUGUCGCUCUAUGGUUUCUUAGAUGAGAUUAUGUGCAAAGCAUUUUCUACCACUUUGAAGGGGUCAGCGAGAUCAUGGUUCCAAAACUAUCACCCAGGACCAUAAACUCUUUUGGCGACCUCAGUCGACUCUUCAUCGCCAAUUUUAUUAGCGGUAGAAAUCGGCAGAAAAAUGCCUCCCACCUCCCACCUCUUCACCGUUCACCAGAAGGAAACCGAGAGCUUGAAAGACUACGUGAAAUGGUUUGAAACGGUUUAACCAAACCGUACUAGAAAUCGAGGAUCCCAAUGACAAAGUAGUGAUCAUGGCGAUAUGGAAGGACUCCGACCUGGUCUGUUGUUUGACUCCCUUUCCAAAAAUAUUCCUGAAACUUUGUCUGCUCUACAGAGUAAAGCCGACAAAUACAUCGCCGUGGAAGAACUAGCCGAGGCCAAGCGUAAGCGACAAGGAAAAGAUGAUCACAAAAG